rnacentral:rRNA from 1 species
GACGAACGCUGGCGGCGUGCUUAACACAUGCAAGUCGAACGGAAAGGCCCUGCUUUUGUUGGGUGCUCGAGUGGCGAACGUGUGUGUAACACGUGAGUAUCCUCCCCUUUACUUUGGGAUAACUUCAGGAAACUGUGGCUAAUACCUGAUAGGAGCUCCUGCUGCAUGGUGGGCGUUAGAAAGCUUCGGCGGUAGGGGAUGGACUGUGGGCUUAUCAGCUUGUUGGUGGGGUAGUUGCUUACCAAGCCUUUGACGGAUAGCCGGCCUGAGAGGGUGACCGGGGACAUUGGGACUAAGGGACGCAGCAGACGCGAACGGGAGGCAGUAGUGGGGAAUAUGGCACAGUGAGGGGAAGUGUGAGGCAGAAACGCCGGGUGCGUGAUGACGGCUUUUGGGUUGAAAACCGCUUUGGCCUGAGACGAAGCGGGAGUGACGGUAAUGGAUAAAGAAGCACCGGCUAACUACGUG